rnacentral:rRNA from 1 species
AUUAGUUUUUUAAUUGAAGGCUAGAAUGAAUGGUUGGACAAGAAAUAAUCUGUCUCAGAUCAAUAUAUUGAAUUUAACUUUUAAGUGAAAAGGCUUAAAUAAUCUGAAGGGACGAUAAGACCCUAUAAAACUUUAUAUUUAGAAGUGGUGGGUAAGUUUUGUUUGUAGUUUAAUUACUUUAAAAUAUUUGGUUGGGGUGACAAGGAUAGAAUAGCAAGUAACUGUUUUUUUUUAAAACAAUGAUGUUUGGAUUAAUGAUCCUAAAGGGAUUAAAAGAUUAAGUUACUUUAGGGAUAACAGCGUAAUUUUCUUUAAGAGUUCUUAUCGAUAAGAGAGUUUGCGACCUCGAUGUUGAAUUAAAGGUUCUUUAUGGAGUAGAGACUAUAAAAGAAGGUCUGUUCGACCUUUAAAACUUUACAUGAUUUGAGUUCAGACCGGUGUGAG